GCCUUCGUGGUGUAAUUGGAAAGCAUGUCCGACUAGCAGUUGGAAGCAGCAGUCCGAAGUUCGAAUCCCGGCGAGGGCA
rnacentral:tRNA from 1 species